UCAGUUGCAAAAGAGUUGAUGCGCAGAAUCAUAUUACAGAAGUCAUUGGAGUUAUGUGUAACAAAAGUAAAACAUGUGUGGUUAAAACAUACUCUUCUUUCCCUGUUUUGUGACCCUCACUCAUAUUAGGGUUUCCCAGCCCUCCGUAUUAUAUAUGCGUAACAAUUAUUAGUAUGGGAACUCGCGAAAUUUGUAGAAAGUGGAAAGGGGAUGAAUUUUUCGGGAAGCUUUUGGAUUGGGUGGCAUGUCUUGAUGUAGGCUGACAAGGUGAUUGACAAUCUGUGGGAAUUGGACUUGUCCUCACUAAACACUUGAGUACCUAUAUUUAUCUUUGCUUAUUGAUAUUCUGCCCCAUUUCAGUUGCAAGGGGAUGGCUUUUCUGUUGAAGUUGAAAUAGAUAUGUGCAAGCUAUACUUACAUGCAUAUGUGCAUGCAAGUGAAUGUACUUAAUCUUUAUCAUCCAAUCUCUGUUUUUCAGCGAAUACAUUCUUUUAUUUGAAUUUUGUUUAGCAGUCAAUAUUCAUUACACAAUGGAGAUGGUCUCUAAACAAUGCAUUUUAAGGGUACUUAAGGUGUUAAAGAUAUCGUUUCUUUCUAACCUUUCA